GCCCAACUAGCUCAGCUGGUAGAGUAUGUAACUCUUAAUCUCAGGAUCAUGAGGUUUAAAUCCCAUGUUGGGCA
rfam:Cricetulus griseus cell line CHO-K1, whole genome shotgun sequence.